AUUUCUGUCAGGCAGGGGAGAGACUAUGACCAUGAAGGUGAUUCUCCCAGGAUGAGGCUAGCCCACUGUACUUCAGGUGUGCUGAUGCCUGCAAUGUCCCCAAAUGCAUGAUACUUGACUACAAAAUUUGUGGUAGUGGGGGACUGCAUUCGCGCUUAA